UUUGCAUCCAAGACAUUUACUUAAAACCCACAAACACCAUGAAGCUCACGCCGCUUCCACUCAAGGAGCUGACCCGCAUUCUGCUCCAGCUCCCCUGCUAGGCCUAUGCCCUCCUGGGGUGGGUGUGUGGGGACAUCAACCCUUGGCAUGGCAGCCCUUGCGUCCUCUGGACAAGAGAACUCCCCACAAGAAAAAGGCUCCCCAGGUGAUAUGCCACCAGGACAUCAGGCUGAAGUCAGCCCCAGGCCCAGGGUAUUCAGCCUAUGUACCCACCAGCAACUCAGCACAGACGGACUGUGAUUUGAAGGCUCCAAGCUCGGCCAGGCCUUGGCACCUGGCCAGGAACCGCUGACCUUCCUGGGCCGGCCUCGCGCGGAGGCAGCAACCUCCGCCUUCACAGACAGCCCCACCCGGCCGCUCCGUGGAAGAUGCAUUUCUGCCUGGACCGGUGGCCUCGGAUUUCUCAUGUCUGGGUCAAGAUGCCCCACGUUUUGGUGUAGAGGAUGUUCUUUGUGCCUUAUUUCCUGGCCUUCCAGCUGCUUUACAGAUUGAUCGAAUGGUGGUGGGGCACUGGGGGCCUCUGGGACUCAUUUUUCCCUUUCUGGCGGGUGGGGCACCACCUGGGAGCCAGGGACAUGGGCAGGGCCAAGGUUGCCAGGAGGCGAUGGGAGGUUUCUGAGGCCGUUCUCCUCACUCUGCAACUUCCGGGCGCAGAUUCUCCCAUGCAGCACAGUGGUGGGGCCCACAACACUGGGACAAGGUAUUUUUCUUCUUCCAGCCAGCUCACCUGGGUCCGGCAGAGGUGCUGAUGGCCACAGGCAGAUGAGGACCCGGGGAACGGAUAGGGAAGACUUGGGAUGGGACACCGGGUGUCCAAAUGCGGGGUGGGGGUGUCCCUGAGGACGAGGAGUGGGGGUCAGCAGCUGCCUUUUGCUGCACUGGGUCGGAGGGCUCCUGGUCUGGGGGUGGCCAGGGGACUCAUUUGCCCUGUGCUGUGAUGGGUCGGAGGGCUUCUGGUCAGCUGGGUGUCUGGGGGACACUGCUACCUGUGCUCAACCCGGUUGCGAUGCUGGGAGUGCCCUUCCCGGCUGGGGGGGCGGGAUCACCGAAUGGGAACGCGGGGCUGAGGAGCGCUGCGGGCCGGGCCGCGGGGCCUUGAGGCUUGAGGGCCGGUGCGGGGACCUGCCGGACUGCAGAAGGCGGUGAAGGUGGACUCGAACGAGAAAGGCGGAGCGCAGGGUGUGGGCUAGAGGCCCCGGCAGGACGAGUGGGCAGGGGCGCGCUACCCUUUGGUGUGGGAACGAGGCAAAGAGCAGGAGGAGCUGAGGUGGAAGCGCCGUCUCUCUCCCCUCACUGAGGCCUGGGGCUGGCGCCCGGGCCCAUCACAAUGCCUCCUCGUGAUGUCACUACCGUGCCUGUGUCCAUUCGCCAGGAGGCCCUGAGCUUGGUUUUGCUGGUGCAGCCAAUCACCAGGCAGCUCUGCGAGCCCGUCGCCAGGUGGCUCUCAUUGUGGCCCUCCUGAUGUCGCCUCUAGGAUGCCAUACCCUAAGAGGCAGAUUGGUGUCCAUACUGACCCUUGCCCCUUGCAGCUCCAGGCUCCCUCUCCCCGGUUGCAGAGCCUUCAUUUCACAGCUUCUCCCAUCUGAUACCGGUUGUGAGGACUGGACCUCUGGAAAAGGGAGAUCGAGUGCAGAGUGGGUGGGCUGCAGGUGGCCUAGGACAAGGACAGAGGAGGUAAGACUCCAAGAAGGUGAAGCAUCCUCCUGCUGAGGGUCCAGGGUAACAGAAGGAAUAAGCUGCCCAUCUGAGAACAUGGGAGUACCGUUCCUGGACGACACCCCAUCACCCCUGCUAUGCAGUUGUCUGCCCUUUCCCCAACCCUGUGGUCAUUAUUAAACACUUUAG
ensembl:lncRNA